rnacentral:rRNA from 1 species
AAUUAACGCUGGCGGCAUGCCUAACACAUGCAAGUCGCACGAGAAAGCCUCUUUCGGGGGGCAAGUAAAGUGGCGCACGGGUGAGUAACGCGUGGAUAAUCCACCUCGUUCUGGGGGAUAACCCAUCGAAAGGUGGGCUAAUACCGCAUAAUCCGGCUGAACUUUGGUUUGGCCGGCAAAGGUGGCCUCUUCAUGAAAGCUACCGGGCAGAGAUGAGUCCGCGUCCCAUUAGCUUGUUGGUAGGGUAACGGCCUACCAAGGCGACGAUGGGUAGCUGGUCUGAGAGGACGAUCAGCCACACUGGAACUGGUACACGGUCCAGACUCCUACGGGAGGCAGCAGUGAGGAAUAUUGCGCAAUGGGGGAAACCCUGACGCAGCGAUGCCGCGUGAGUGAAGAAGGCCUUCGGGUCGUAAAGCUCUGUCAAGUGGGAAGAAUAGCGGCGGGACGAAUAAUCCCGUCGUGUGACGGUACCACUGAAGGAAGCACCGGCUAACUCCGUGCCAGCAGCCGCCGUAACAC